UCAUUCAAACCAGCACACCCUGUCUCAAGACAGGAAGGUGGAGAGCAGGACAGCUAAUGCCCUCCCCUGGCCUCUGCACAUGCACACAUGCACACAUAGGUACAUGUACUGGCACAGACAUGCUUACAGCACACACAGACACACACGCAUGCACUUGGAUAAGUUGCUUUAUAACCUGGAGAGACGCCUCGGCAGUUAAAAGCACUGGUCACUCUUCCAGAGAACCCAGGCGCAGUUCCCAGCACCCACAAUCUUCAGUGACUCCAGUUCCAGAGACUCUAACACCCACCUCAAGCCUCCGCAGGCAUCACACAUGCACACAGUUCACAGACACGCAUUCUGGCAAAAUACAUAAAAGAAUGUUUUGUUUUUCAAGAGAGGGUCUCCCUACAUAGCUCUUGCUGUCCUGGAACUCGGUCUGUAGACCACGCCAGCCUCGAACUCAGAAAGUUCUGCUUGCCUUGUCCUCCUGAGUGCUGAGAUUAAAGGUGUACACCACUA
rnacentral:lncRNA from 1 species